UGGGGAAUUUUGGACAAUGGGCGCAAGCCUGAUCCAGCCAUGCCGCGUGCGGGAAGAAGGCCUUCGGGUUGUAAACCGCUUUUGUCAGGGAAGAAAUCUUCUGAGUUAAUACCUCGGGAGGAUGACGGUACCUGAAGAAUAAGCACCGGCUAACUACGUGCCAGCAGCCGCGGUAAUACGUAGGGUGCAAGCGUUAAUCGGAAUUACUGGGCGUAAAGCGUGCGCAGGCGGUUUUGUAAGACAGAGGUGAAAUCCCCGGGCUCAACCUGGGAACUGCCUUUGUGACUGCAAGGCUUGAGUGCGGCAGAGGGGGAUGGAAUUCCGCGUGUAGCAGUGAAAUGCGUAGAUAUGCGGAGGAAACACCGAUGGCGAAGGCAAUCCCCUGGGCCUGCACUGACGCUCAUGCACGAAAAGCGUGGGGAGCAAAACAGGAUUAGAUACCCUGGUAGUCCACGCCCUAAAACGAUGUCAAC
rnacentral:rRNA from 1 species